rnacentral:rRNA from 1 species
UUCCGGUUGAUCCUGCCGGAGGCUGCCGCUAUUGGAGUUCGAUUAAGCCAUGCGAGUCUAGAGGCCUAGCCUCGGCGUACCGCUCAGUAACACGUGGGUAACCUACCCUAUGCUGGGGGAUAAGCUCGGGAAACUGAGAAUAAUACCCCAUAGUCCACUACGCCUGGAACGGUGAGUGGAUCAAAGCUCCGGCGGCAUAGGAUGGGCCUGCGGCGUAUCAGGUUGUAGGGGGUGUAACGUACCCUCUAGCCAUCCACGCGUACGGGUGUUGGGAGACAUUGCCCGGAGAUGGAUUCUGAGACACGAAUCCAGACCCUACGGGGUGCAGCAGGCGCGAAAACUUGGCAAUGCGAGAAAUCGUGACCAGGGAACUCCAAGUGGCAGGGGUAAGACCCUGUCUUUUUCCGACUCUAAAUAGGUCGGCGAAUAAGGGGUGGGUAAGGACGGUGCCAGCCGCCGCGGUAAUACCGGCGCCUCAAGUGGUAGUCGCUUUUAUUGGGCCUAAAACGUCCGUAGCCGGUCUGGUACAUUCGUGGGUAAAUCAACUCGCUUAACGAGUUGAAUUCUGCGAGGACGGCCAGACUUGGGACCGGGAGAGGUGUGGGGUACUCUCAGGGUAGGGGUAAAAUCCUGUCAUCCUGAGAGGACCACCUGUUGCGAAGGCUCCACACUAGAACGGAUCCGACGGUCAGGGACGAAGCCUAGGGGCACGAACCGGAUUAGAUACCCGGGUAGUCCUAGGUGUAAACGCUGUGGACUUGAUGUUGGGGACGCUCCGAGCGUUCCCAGUGUCGAAGCGAAGGUGAUAAGUCCACUGCCUGGGGAGUACGGUCGCAAGGCUGAAACUUAAAGGAAUUGGCGGGGGAGCACUGCAACCUGAGGAUUGUGCGGUUUAAUUGGAUUCAACGCCGGG